AACCCGGCUACAUGAAGCUGGAAUCGCUAGUAAUCGCAGAUCAGAAUGCUGCGGUGAAUACGUUCCCGGGUCUUGUACACACCGCCCGUCACACCAUGGGAGCCGGGAAUGCCCGAAGUCGGUGACCCAACCGUAAGGAGGGAGCCGCCGAAGGCAGGCCUGGUAACUGGGGUGAAGUCGUAACAAGGUAGC
rnacentral:rRNA from 1 species